CGAAUCCUGACGCCGUCCGUCCCACGCCGGAUCUAAUCCACUCAUCCAUCGUCGUCCCCCCACAGGAACGAGCCAUGUCUGACGAGGAGCACCAGUUCGAGUCCAAGGCCGAUGCCGGUGCAUCGAAGACCUACCCCCAGCAGGCGGGAACGAUCCGAAAGAACGGUUACAUCGUCAUCAAGGGCCGUCCCUGCAAGGUCGUGGAGGUGUCUACCUCCAAAACCGGGAAGCAUGGUCAUGCGAAGUGCCACUUUGUGGCCAUCGAUAUCUUCACUUCAAAGAAGCUGGAGGAUAUUGUGCCUUCCUCCCAUAAUUGUGAUGUGCCUCAUGUUAACCGUACUGACUACCAGCUAAUUGACAUUUCCGAAGAUGGAUUUGUGAGUUUGCUGACUGAAAGUGGCGGCACAAAAGAUGAUCUGAAGCUCCCAACUGAUGAGGCUCUGCUCACCCAGCUUAAGGAUGGGUUCGAUGAGGGAAAAGAUCUGGUGGUUACCGUUAUGUCCGCAAUGGGUGAGGAGCAGAUCUGCACUCUCAAGGAUAUUGGCCCCAAGUAAUCUCGUUGAGUGUGUAUGUGUUAAAAGACUUAAUAUGGGUGUUUGGCCUGAGGUUUCAUUACCUUAGGUUAAUUUUUAUAACUUGCGCUUGUCUUGGAAAGUACCUAGCUGCAUGACUUUUAUGGGUAAUGAUAAUAUGAACCAUGGUGUUUUUUCUAAUGGCAA
rnacentral:misc_RNA from 1 species